rnacentral:rRNA from 1 species
UCGGGAAUUUUGGGCAAUGGGCGAAAGCCUGACCCAGCAACGCCGCGUGAAGGAUGAAGUAUUUCGGUAUGUAAACUUCGAAAGAAUAGGAAGAAUAAAUGACGGUACUAUUUAUAAGGUCCGGCUAACUACGUGCCAGCAGCCGCGGUAAUACGUAGGGACCAAGCGUUGUUCGGAUUUACUGGGCGUAAAGCGCACGUAGGCGGAUUUGUCAGUCAGGGGUGAAAUCCCGAGGCUCAACCUCGGAACUGCCUCCGAUACAGCAAGUCUCGAGUCCGGAAGAGGUGAGUGGAAUUCCUAGUGUAGAGGUGAAAUUCGUAGAUAUUAGGAAGAACACCAGUGGCGAAGGCGGCUCACUGGUCCGGUACUGACGCUGAGGUGCGAAAGCGUGGGGAGCAAACAGGAUUAGAUACCCCCGUAGUCCCUGAGCGGGCUGGCAAGGCGCAU